CCUUAAGUGAAAGCAACUGACCCCAUUUUUCCAAAUGAUUGCCUUUUUGACCCACCCUGCCCCCUAUCCUGUGCCCAUAAAAACCAGCCCAGCUGGCAGAAGAAAGCUACAGCAACACAAGCAGCUGAGCCUCAGGGAUACAAACUGCUGAAUGUCGGGGAUAAAAGUGACUGAGCAGUGAGCAGAGAGCUAGGUAAAGCCUGGGACACUUGGAGGUAGACACUGGAAAGAGUCAGAACUUAUCUGCACUUCUGUCUGAGUCCUAGGCUCCACAACUAAUACAUACUUCAAGUCCCAAACUUAACAAGGUUUUGGCCAAAAGUAAAAGUCGCUAAGCGUUAACAUUGUUAUUGAGACUACUGAAGAAACAGUUUUACAUGCAAG
rnacentral:lncRNA from 10 species